CCUACGGGUGGCAGCAUUGAGGAAUAUUGGUCAAUGGCCGGAAGGCUGAACCAGCCAUGCCGCGUGAAGGUCAGUGCCCUAUGGGCGUUAAACUUCUUUUGUGCGGGAUCAAUCCUGGUCACGUGUGGCCAGACGAGAGUACCGUACGAAUAAGCAUCGGCUAACUCCGUGCCAGCAGCCGCGGUAAUACGGGGGAUGCAAGCGUUAUCCGGAUUUAUUGGGUUUAAAGGGUGCGUAGGCUGUGAGGUAAGUCAGCGGUGAAAUGCCCCCGCUCAACGGGGUGAAGUGCCAUUGAUACUGCCUGGCUGGAAUGCGGAUGCCGUGGGAGGAAUGUGUGGUGUAGCGGUGAAAUGCAUAGAUAUCACACAGAACACCGAUUGCGAAGGCAUCUCACGAAUCCGCGAUUGACGCUGAUGCACGAAAGCGUGGGUAUCAAACAGGAUUAGAUACCCCUGUAGUC
rnacentral:rRNA from 1 species